rnacentral:rRNA from 1 species
UACAGAGGUGGCAAGCGUUGUUCGGAAUUACUGGGCGUAAAGGGCGCGUAGGCGGUCCGAUAAGUCCCGUGUGAAAGCCCCCGGCUCAACUGGGGAACUGCACGGGAAACUGACGGACUUGAGUUCGGGAGAGGGAAGCGGAAUUCCGGGUGUAGCGGUGAAAUGCGUAGAUAUCAGGAGGAACACCGAUGGCGAAGGCAGGUCACUGGGCCGCAACUGACGCUGAGGAGCGAAAGCAUGGGGAGCGAACAGG